rnacentral:lncRNA from 1 species
GCAGUGUUACUGACUGGAUGACUGGCACUUAGAGUCCAGCACCCUGCUGAGAAACCAGCAACCCAUGUGAGGAUUCCAUGGCCAGCUGAGAUCACAAGACUCUUGAACAGAAGAAAUGCCAAGAGAGCUAGAAUCUUACAGAUGGUGGUAUUAAUAAUGGAGCAAACUAGAACCAAUGACAAAGACAUGAAGUCUGAAAAUAGCACAGAGAAUAUAAAUAUUGUGAGAUGAAUGUUCCCCCUUC